rnacentral:rRNA from 1 species
UUGAAAGGGAAACGAUUGAAGUCAGUCGUACCUGUGGGUAAUCAGCCUUUUGGGUGUGAUUUUGUGGAGUGUGAGGGGUUAAACGCCUUCAUGCCUGCAUAUUCGUGCACUUUGGGUGUAUUUACCCGUGUGGUAAGUUAACAUCAAUUUCGGUGGUCAUAAAAUGGCUGGAGGAAUGUAGCUUCGAUCUUGUAUUGAAGUGUUAUAGCCUUCGGUAGAUGUGAUGAUCGGGAUUGAGGAUUGCAACGGAUACCCUUCGGGGCUACCUGUCUGAUCUCUGAUCGUUGCUCUGGUGCCGAAAGCUUGCUUACGGUUAUCAAAGUCGAUGGUCAAUAGGUUAGAACGGGUUAAAUUCGUUAAGGAUGUUGACGUA